GGAUGAACGCUAGCUACAGGCUUAACACAUGCAAGUCGAGGGGCAGCAUGGUCUUAGCUUGCUAAGGCUGAUGGCGACCGGCGCACGGGUGAGUAACACGUAUCCAACCUGCCCUUUACUCGGGGAUAGCCUUUCGAAAGAAAGAUUAAUACCCGAUAGCAUAAUGAUUCCGCAUGGUUUCAUUAUUAAAGGAUUCCGGUAAAGGAUGGGGAUGCGUUCCAUUAGGUUGUUGGUGGGGUAACGGCCCACCAAGCCUUCGAUGGAUAGGGGUUCUGAGAGGAAGGUCCCCCACAUUGGAACUGAGACACGGUCCAAACUCCUACGGGAGGCAGCAGUGAGGAAUAUUGGUCAAUGGGCGCUAGCCUGAACCAGCCAAGUAGCGUGAAGGAUGAAGGCUCUAUGGGUCGUAAACUUCUUUUAUAUAAGAAUAAAGUGCAGUAUGUAUACUGUUUUGUAUGUAUUAUAUGAAUAAGGAUCGGCUAACUCCGUGCCAGCAGCCGCGGUAAUACGGAGGAUCCGAGCGUUAUCCGGAUUUAUUGGGUUUAAAGGGAGCGUAGGUGGACUGGUAAGUCAGUUGUGAAAGUUUGCGGCUCAACCGUAAAAUUGCAGUUGAUACUGUCAGUCUUGAGUACAGUAGAGGUGGGCGGAAUUCGUGGUGUAGCGGUGAAAUGCUUAGAUGUCACGAAGAACUCCGAUUGCGAAGGCAGCUCACUGGACUGCAACUGACACUGAUGCUCGAAAGUGUGGGUAUCAAACAGGAUUAGAUACCCUGGUAGUCCACACAGUAAACGAUGAAUACUCGCUGUUUGCGAUAUACAGUAAGCGGCCAAGCGAAAGCAUUAAGUAUUCCACCUGGGGAGUACGCCGGCAACGGUGAAACUCAAAGGAAUUGACGGGGGCCCGCACAAGCGGAGGAACAUGUGGUUUAAUUCGAUGAUACGCGAGGAACCUUACCCGGGCUUAAAUUGCAGUGGAAUGAUGUGGAAACAUGUCAGUGAGCAAUCACCGCUGUGAAGGUGCUGCAUGGUUGUCGUCAGCUCGUGCCGUGAGGUGUCGGCUUAAGUGCCAUAACGAGCGCAACCCUUAUCUUUAGUUACUAACAGGUCAUGCUGAGGACUCUAGAGAGACUGCCGUCGUAAGAUGUGAGGAAGGUGGGGAUGACGUCAAAUCAGCACGGCCCUUACGUCCGGGGCUACACACGUGUUACAAUGGGGGGUACAGAAGGCAGCUAGCGGGUGACCGUAUGCUAAUCCCAAAAUCCUCUCUCAGUUCGGAUCGAAGUCUGCAACCCGACUUCGUGAAGCUGGAUUCGCUAGUAAUCGCGCAUCAGCCACGGCGCGGUGAAUACGUUCCCGGGCCUUGUACACACCGCCCGUCAAGCCAUGGGAGCCGGGGGUACCUGAAGUGCGUAACCGCGAGGAUCGCCCUAGGGUAAAAC
rnacentral:rRNA from 1 species